rnacentral:rRNA from 1 species
GGGCCCGCACAAGCGGUGGAGCAUGUGGUUUAAUUCGAUGAUACGCGAGGAACCUUACCAGGGCUUAAAUGUAGUAUGACCGGUCUAGAAAUAGGCCUUCCCUUCGGGGCAGAUUACAAGGUGCUGCAUGGUUGUCGUCAGCUCGUGCCGUGAGGUGUUAGGUUAAGUCCUGCAACGAGCGCAACCCCUAUUCUUAGUUGCCAGCGGUUCGGCCGGGGACUCUAAGAAGACUGCCAGCGCAAGCUGAGAGGAAGGUGGGGAUGACGUCAAAUCAUCACGGCCCUUACGUCCUGGGCUACACACGUGCUACAAUGGUACAGACAGAGGGCAGCCACCUGGCGACAGGGAGCGAAUCUCAAAAAAACCCUCUCAGUUCGGAUCGCAGUCUGCAACUCGACUGCGUGAAGUUGGAAUC